rnacentral:rRNA from 1 species
UACGGAGGGUGCGAGCGUUGUCCGGAUUUAUUGGGUUUAAAGGGUGCGUAGGUGGCUUAGUAAGUCAGUGGUGAAAUACAGCCGUCAACGGUUGAGGUGCCAUUGAUACUGUUAAGCUUGAAAUAAUUGGAGGCUGCCGGAAUGGAUGGUGUAGCGGUGAAAUGCAUAGAUAUCAUCCAGAACACCGAUUGCGAAGGCAGGUGGCUACGAUUUAUUUGACACUGAGGCACGAAAGCAUGGGGAGCAAACAGG